GAGUUUGAUCAUGGCUCAGGAUGAACGCUAGCGGGAGGCCUAACACAUGCAAGCCGAGCGGUAUGGAUCUUUCGGGAUCCAGAGAGCGGCGUACGGGUGCGGAACACGUGUGCAACCUGCCUUUAUCAGGGGGAUAGCCUUUCGAAAGGAAGAUUAAUACCCCAUAAUAUUUAGAAUGGCAUCAUUUUGAAUUGAAAACUCCGGUGGAUAGAGAUGGGCACGCGCAAGAUUAGAUAGUUGGUGAGGUAACGGCUCACCAAGUCUGCGAUCUUUAGGGGGCCUGAGAGGGUGAUCCCCCACACUGGUACUGAGACACGGACCAGACUCCUACGGGAGGCAGCAGUGAGGAAUAUUGGACAAUGGGUGCGAGCCUGAUCCAGCCAUCCCGCGUGAAGGACGACGGCCCUAUGGGUUGUAAACUUCUUUUGUAUAGGGAUAAACCUACCCUCGUGAGGGUAGCUGAAGGUACUAUACGAAUAAGCACCGGCUAACUCCGUGCCAGCAGCCGCGGUAAUACGGAGGGUGCAAGCGUUAUCCGGAUUUAUUGGGUUUAAAGGGUCCGUAGCGGAUGUGUAAGUCAGUGGUGAAAUCUCACAGCUU
rnacentral:rRNA from 1 species